rnacentral:rRNA from 1 species
UACGUAGGGUGCGAGCGUUGUCCGGAAUUACUGGGCGUAAAGAGCUCGUAGGUGGUUUGUCGCGUUGUUCGUGAAAACUCACAGCUUAACUGUGGGCGUGCGGGCGAUACGGGCAGACUUGAGUACUGCAGGGGAGACUGGAAUUCCCGGUGUAGCGGUGGAAUGCGUAGAGAUCGGGAAGAACAUCAGUGGCGAAGGCGGCCUGCUGGGCUGUUGCUGACGCUGAGGCGCGACAGCGUGGGGAGCAAACAGG